CUCAGUCAAUGUAAACACCCUACACUCUCAGCUGUGCGCCAUUGGUUAGCUGGGAGUGGGGUGUUUAUGUUGACUGCC
rnacentral:pre_miRNA from 1 species